GCUCAUGUGGUGGAAUUGGUAGACACGCCAUCUUGAGGGGGUGGUGGGCGCAAGCCCGUGGAAGUUCGAAUCUUCUCAUGAGCA
rnacentral:tRNA from 1 species